rnacentral:rRNA from 1 species
CGGCGUUAGCCUUAAACACCGGACUAGGCCUAAAGUUACCGAAGCCGGGAGUACGGUAUACGGGACCGGAAGCCCUUACGGGGUACGGAAGAAUGGGUUAGUACGUUAGGCGGACGGGACGUAGGGUGAAGUAAUAGGUAGGUAACCUACCUCAUACUGAGGCAUAGCUGGGAGAAAUUCCAGGUAAUUCCUCAUGAGGUUAUAUGACACAUGUGAUAUAAUCAAAGGUAUCGCAAGGUACUGGUAUGAGAUGGGCUUACUGACCAUUAGCUAGUUGGUGAGAUAAGAGCUCACCAAGGCGAAGAUGGUUAGGGGUUUUGAGAGAGAGAUCCCCCACAUUGGAACUGAGAUACGGUCCAGACUCCUACGGGAGGCAGCAGUAGGGAAUAUUGGGCAAUGGGCGGAAGCCUGACCCAGCCAUGCCGCGUGAAGGAAGACGGCCUUAUGGGUUGUAAACUUCUUUACUAUGCGACUAACUAGAUUUACGAGAUAAUUCUAUAGAAUGUAGCAUAGCAAAAAGCACCGGCUAACUCCGUG